GAGGUAGCUCAGUUAGUAGAGUGCUUGCCUCACAUGAACAAGGCCCUGAGUUCAAUCCCCAGUACCACA
rnacentral:tRNA from 1 species